AGCGGGUUAGUGUAAUAGAAACAUAUUCGGUUCAUGCCCGAAAGAUAUAGGUGCAAGUCCUGUAUCCGCGUUUUUU
rnacentral:tRNA from 1 species